UGCAUGGGUGCAAUGUUUAUUUUCUCAUCGACUGUGUUUUGGUGAAGGGAACCACCACAUCCACCAUACUGACUACUGGAGAUAAUUGGAAAAUCUUCUUUCUUCUGAAGCGAGAUUACAUUGCAUGGUUGCAAUGUUUAUUAUACCAUAGAAUGGGAUUUUGGUGUAAGGGAACCACCACAUCCAGCAUACUGAACAUGGGAGAUACUGGGAAAGUCUUCUUUUUUGCAGGGAGCUUCCAUUGUACAGGUGCAAUGUUUAUUUUCCGCUCUGCUGUGAAUCUGGUAGAAGGGAACCACCACAACCAGCAUAAUGAGUGUGGGAGACACUAGCUAGCCUUCUUUCUUUUGGGCAGGCAGCUGCAUCUGACUCAGCCAGAGACAGUGCCUGAAACCGGUUUGUCAGACGCAUCGGGGAGGCCUUCUGAUCAGCCUCCGGGGACGUCUUUCGCUGCCUGCCACACCUUGGAACGACCUCCCAAUCAACCACAACUAAUAGUAUAACAAUAGGUACAGUAACAGUAAAUCAACCAAUAAAGGGGAAGAGGAAAAGGAAUCCAAUGACGAAGGCAAAUAACAUAUUUUAAAGUACGGAAGCAAUUAAGAAACAACAAAAUUAGGCCUACAGUUAACGGCAAGACCAUGCGAAAAACAAGGUGUUCAACAGCAUACUAUUGUAGCAGUAUGUGGAUGUUUGCCUGGAAACUAGUAAUGAGGCUUAUGGGAAGUUAUGCACUGCCCAUAUAUAACCAUGUAUUAUUGGGAGGUUGUGAAAAGUGAAAGUAGAAGACUGUGGAAGUAGAAGACUGUGCAUCUGUCGGCUACAUCAUUUACAGUAGACAGUACUGCACAUCCACCCCCUAUGCUUUCAGCAAGUAUGUCGACACUGAGGACAACAAAGUAGGCAAACCACAACAAAAUGUCAGUUUACUUGCAGCACAGUUUAAACUAUGUUGAAAAAUGAUUUGACUUUGAAGAAAGUGUCCACAGGACUUUCAAACCAUUUUCACUGACAGUGAAACAGAGCUCAUUUUCAGAAUUUGUAGAAGUGAUUUCUUGAUAUGAAUUUCUUGUAGAUAGGGAUUUGAUGUUUGAAGAAUGUGUGUAGUUAAAGUACUUUCUCAAGCAAGAAGAGAAGAACUUUUUAAGAUGAAAUCUGAUUUGUGGAAGGAAUUUUUUUCAUUGUUAUGAAAACUGUGACAACUUCUUCAAACUUUUCCGUUUUGCUUCAGAUGAGUUUUCAGCCUGAUGAUGAACACUUGGUGAGCUGAGAUGCAUCUUUUCCCAGCAGCAACAUCAGAAGCUGAAAUAAUAAUGAAGAUGGUUUAGUGAUUUACAUGUCUCCAGUUUUGUUAGUUUCUUGAUGAUUAAGAAGAGAAGAUUCUAUGAAGGAGAUUGAAAAGUGAGCAAAACUCUCAAUAAGGUAAAAACAGUCUCACAGAGACUUCUGUUCAGUAGUAGAUUAUGAUAAAUAUUCUGGUUAACGAAGUAUCUGAUUCAAUUCAUUUUGCAGCAAUAAUUGCAAACCUGCUGUUCAAAAAUGGAAGCCUUUUGGAUUGAUAUUUUGUUUGUGAUAAUUUGUUUGAAAUUUCUUUCAUUUUCUUUGAUGUUUGAGAAUAUUCAUUACAUUAUAAAUUUCAUUUUUUUCUUCAACUGUAAAAUGGCAUGUUUCACAAUUUGAAAUUAUGCGGUUAUGAAAAUGCGUCAUAUCACUUCUCUGUCAAAUAGAAACUGUUAUAAUUUUUCAUAAAGACCAGAACAGUUCCUGAAGUUAAUAUUGUAAAAAUGUGUCUUCGAUGCUUUGCACCAGUGACUUGAGUUGUGCUAUCUUUGUUAACUUUCUCAAUAGUUUUAGUGACUUGAUGUCACAUGGAACCAAGUGCAGUUUUAUCUGUUGGACUGAGUAAUGUGAACUCAGUGUAUAUCAUGAACUGUAAUUUGUUUUUACAAUUCUGCAACUUUGAAAUCAGUGCCCAUUUAAAAGUGACUCUUUUUACCCAGUUGCCAAAGCUUUAGAAAUGUGUUGUUAAUUGUUGAUUACAUUUGGAGAAUUGGGCUUAGCAAAAACUAAAUGUUCUUUCAUGUGCAAGUCAAGAUAUUAACUGAAACUAUAUGACCUAGAGCCCACAAUGAAUUGUAGUGGUAAAUAUAUUUGGAUGGUGAGCUGAGCCACAAAAUACUUCAGAUCAUGUCAAUGAUUGUUAAUACUGUUUUCUAGGUUAUGCAACAAAUGUCAUUAGAACUCUAUUCUACAGUGUCAUAUCCCAACGUUACACUUCAGACAGUUCUGACAACAAAAUGUUACAGCUUUAAUUACAUCAUUUCAAUAACUUCUUGUUGUUUGGAG